UUGUAGCCAGAGACAAAGAGGGUUUAGUUCUCUUAUCUUGUUCGGAGGUUCAUCAAAGGGUCUCCUCAGCUUUUGGAGCGGAAGCAAUGGCGUGCCGGAAAGCUCUCCAAAUCGGCGUUCACAAACAGUGGGAAAGAGUUAUUAUCGAAGGAGACUCUUUAUCAAUAAUAAAAAAGUGCAAAGCAAAAAGCCCAGAUAAAUCAAUGGUGAGUGCGUUUAUCCAUGACAUCCAUCAGCUUUCGUUUUAUUUUAAAGAAUGCAAGUUUGAGCAUAUCCCUAGAUCAACAAAUAGCCUAGCGCAUAUUUUAGCAACAGAAGCGAAUAAACGAAACAGAGGGGAUUACCUGGUCGGACGAGUCCCUGAUGGUGCAAAAUUUCAAGCAGAAAAUGAAAGGCUGAGAGAACCAGAUUGAAACGGGGAAAGGGAGAAUUGGAAGGAAGGAAAUGGUGAAGAGCAAAUAUCAAAGUGACUUUUCAAAGCUCUUGGGUGGUUCAAAACGUCUUGAAGAAGGAAAACAGGUGAAGAGACAGG
rnacentral:lncRNA from 1 species